rnacentral:tRNA from 9 species
CGAGAAGUAGCUCAGCUUGGUAGAGCACUUGGUUUGGGACCAAGGGGUCGCAGGUUCGAAUCCUGUCUUCUCGACCA